rnacentral:rRNA from 1 species
GAGCGAGAAAGGUCUUCGGACUAAGUACAGCGGCGGACGGGUGAGUAACGCGUGAGAAUCUGCCUUUCAGUGGAAGAAUACUCUCGAGAAAUCGAGCUUAAUGCUGCAUACGUCUUGAAAAAGAGAAAGAUGGCCUCUUGCUGUCGCUGAAAGAUGAGCUUGCGUACUAUUAGCUAGUUGGUGGGGUAAAGGCCUACCAAGGCGAUGAUGGUUAGCCGGCCUGAGAGGGUGUACGGCCACACUGGAACUGAGACACGGUCCAUACUCCUACGGGAGGCAGCAGUGGGGAAUAUUGCGCAAUGGGCGAAAGCCUGACGCAGCGACGCCGCGUGGAGGAUGAAGGUCUUAGGAUUGUAAACUCCUGUUAAGUGGGAGGAAAGAGCGGGUUUUAAUACAACCCGAAGAUGACUGUACCAUUAGAGAAAGCACCGGCUAACUUCGUGCCAGCAGCCGCGGUAAU